GCAUCGGUGGCAGAGUGGUCAAUGCGUUGGACUUGAAAUCCAAUGGGGCUCCCCCGCGCAGGUUCGAAUCCUGUCCGAUGCG